ACGGGGCGCAGCAGGCGCGAAAACUUUACAAUGCGGGAACCGCGAUAAGGGGACACUGAGUGCCAGCAUAUUAUGUUGGCUGUCCAUAUGUAUAAAAAGCAUGUGUUAGCAAGGGCCGGGCAAGACCGGUGCCAGCCGCCGCGGUAACACCGGCGGCCCGAGUGGUGAUCACUAUUAUUGGGUCUAAAGGGUCCGUAGCCGGUUUGAUCAGUCUUUUGGGAAAUCUGACAGCUUAACUGUUAGGCUUCCAAAGGAUACUGUCAGACUUGGGCCCGGGAGAGGUAAGAGGUACUACAGGGGG
rnacentral:rRNA from 1 species